rnacentral:lncRNA from 10 species
CAGAAGCAGUCUGGAGCACAAAGAAUCCCUAAUCACUGACAUUAAGAAAGAAGAAAAAUAUUCCUAGGACGAUCCUGGAGAGCAAAGGUCAUCAGCAGUCACUUGACUUUCCUUGGAUUUCUCAACUGCAGUAGUCACAUGGUCUGCUGAAAAUGAAUUCUCUUUAUUUUCAUCUGAUUUCAAGGAAUUAUGGUUUUCAGUGAUUUCUUCAUUUGGAUCUAUUUUGAGACAGAGUAAUAGCAUUAAAACCCCCUUCUGAAUUAAUAAGUAUUUUAUGGGUGCAAAGGAAAUUAUAUGUCAAAAGCAAUGGAGAGAAAACAUUUGAGAAAAUGGAAGAAGUGCUGAGACACUGGAGUCUACCCUGAAAGAUAAAGCUUCACCUGAGGAGAUCUGCAAAUUAGUAGCUUUUUGCCAGAAGGCAUUCUCCAGUCUAUGCAGCUCAAGUAAUAGAAGGCUACAGCCUUGGUGGAAUGACUUGAGGGAACAGGGGACUGAGUCUAGGACCAUCAGAUCAGCCAAUAAAGAAAGAAGAGACACAGACAUGCAGAGAAAACACAGGGAAGAAGGCCACAUGGGAUGAAGGCAGAGAAGGGAAUGAUGCAGCUACAAGCCAGCUACAAGCCAAGGAAUGCCAUGGACUGCUGGCAACCACUAGAAAGAAGCUGGAAGAGGCAAGGAAGGAUUCUUCCGUGAUGCCUUCAGAGGAAAAUGGCCCUGCAAACACCUUGAUCUUGGACUUCUGACCUCCAGAACUAAGAGAAUACAUUUCUGUUGUUUUAAGUUAA